UGGGGAAUUUUGGACAAUGGGCGAAAGCCUGAUCCAGCAAUGCCGCGUGUGUGAAGAAGGCCUUCGGGUUGUAAAGCACUUUUGUCCGGAAAGAAAUCCUUGGCUCUAAUACAGUCGGGGGAUGACGGUACCGGAAGAAUAAGCACCGGCUAACUACGUGCCAGCAGCCGCGGUAAUACGUAGGGUGCAAGCGUUAAUCGGAAUUACUGGGCGUAAAGCGUGCGCAGGCGGUUUGCUAAGACCGAUGUGAAAUCCCCGGGCUCAACCUGGGAACUGCAUUGGUGACUGGCAGGCUAGAGUAUGGCAGAGGGGGGUAGAAUUCCACGUGUAGCAGUGAAAUGCGUAGAGAUGUGGAGGAAUACCGAUGGCGAAGGCAGCCCCCUGGGCCAAUACUGACGCUCAUGCACGAAAGCGUGGGGAGCAAACAGGAUUAGAUACCCUGGUAGUCCACGCCCUAAAACGAUGUCAACUAGUUGUUGGGGAUUCAUUUCCUUAGUAACGUAGCUAACGCGUGAAGUUGACCGCCUGGGGAGUACGGUCGCAAGAUUAAAACUCAAAUGAAUUGACGGGGUCAUAGCG
rnacentral:rRNA from 1 species